UUUAUACUCCCUCCGUUCGGAAUUACUUGUCUCGAAAAUGGAUGUAUCUAGACGUUCUAGAUACAUCCAUUUUCGAGACAAGUAAUUCCGAACGAAGGGAGUACAUG
rnacentral:pre_miRNA from 1 species